ACUGAAACACAGGUUCCUGUAUGAUCAAUGAAGUUAAACAAUGUUGAGCCUGGUCAGUACCUAGAUGGGUGACUGCUUGGGAAUACCAGGUGCUGUAAG